rnacentral:misc_RNA from 1 species
UAAUCCAUAGAUGGCCGUUGGAUUGUCUGGUUGAAAGGAAAGAAGUAGCACAGCAAAAUUUAGCUUCUUACCUGGAUUCCACUUGGGCUCCUCUAUUCAGCUGUAGGCAGUCUGUUUGUGAGCAGGAAGGUAGGUGGUACGUGCUAGCCUGCAGAGUGUCAUUUAGGAGUAUUUCGUCGAAGAAAUUGAUGAGUGCUAGCGCAUUCUUUCGUGAACGUGACAGAGAAAGUUGUGACACAGAUGUCGCGUCCUCGAAAUCCGGGUGAAAUGAAAAGGCAAUAGCCAAAAGAACUGAUACGAAGACUUCGAUAUGUCUGAGUUUUACGAUUUCUUCUGGGGCACUGCUGAAACAAACAGGAAUUUCGACAUAAACAUUGAAACAACUGACACACCAUUGGCACGCAGUGUUGCUUUAGAAAGUUUCAGAAGCUUAGUUCUUGCUCGUCCCGAUGCCGGGAGUCUACGAUCUGAUGAUGAAUUCCUAAUCCGAUUUCUGGCAGCAAGAAAAAUGAAUGUUCCAGACGCCAUGCUGGUGUAUAACAACUACUACAGUUUCCUGCGUCGCAAUCACGAACUAAUUUCUGACUAUGGCGUCGACAAUGUCGAGGUAAAGCAAGCCUUGGAAGAUGGGCUACCUGGAGUGCUGCAGCAGCGAGAUCGUCGAGGACGUCGUAUCAUGGUUUUGUUCGCUGCUGAAUGGGAUCCGAGCCGAUACUCGGUCUCAACUAUACAAAAGAAACGAAAUGCAUUUAUGUUACAGGCCAUUCAUAUUUCACUUGAUCUGCUGCUACAGGAUUCAGUGGUUCAAGAUAGAGGCUUAGUUCUCAUAAUUGACUGGAGUCAGUUUUCCUUUCGGCAGUAUAGCAAACUCCAGCCUGCUGUCCUUCACUCCAUAGCCCACGGAUUGGAAUAUUGCUAUCCGGUGCGUUUCAAAGCGAUUCACUGCGUUGGGCCGCCUUGGUACGUCGAUGCAGCUAUGUCGCUUCUGAAGCCAUUCUUACGUGAAACGUCGAGGGCAAAGAUUUUCAGCUGUGGAAAUAACUUGUCCAUCUUGCAUCAAGCUGUAUCGCGAGAAAUUUUGCCAGCUGAGCUCGGAGGGGAGCAAGGUCCAUAUCUAUCUUCCAUUUGGAUAGAUAAUCUAAGAAGAGCUCAAGUUUGAGUUUAAAAGAUUUGAUUACGAGAAGAAGGAGUUUCCUCGUUGAGUAAGAAACGAACAACAUAACAACAACGUUCGCAUCAACUUGCUGUAGGGAACAUACCGCAAUUAGUUUAGCAACAUCGAUCAUCGAUCGGAGAAAAAUGAAUUGGUAGUUUUCAACUAACUUCUGAUACCUCUAUCAACGUAAGGUGCGUAACGAAAAACGUGUAAUUACCAUGAGGAAGCAUGGAAUGGACGCUAUCAGUGCCCAGGACAGCUGCCACAAAUUGAUGAUGCCUCACGUAAUUUUCCUCAAGUUUAUUUAACUUCUCCAGCUCGAGUCCAUUCUUCCAAGCAAUCACUACUUCACGUGCAAUGGAUAACACCUGUUGUAGGAAUUGUCUGAUCAGAAAAUAUGGGUACUUCCCAACUUCUACACUUGUUAUACCUCGUUGAUGGCAUCGCGCAAAAAGGCCCCCGACGGUUGUUGCAGGCAUUGUUUAUGUAUAGAAAUAACAUAUUCUUGGUGGCUGUCGAUUAUUUGACCAAGAUGAACUGCAUUUUCUAGUUGCAUAUCCAAUCGAAUAUGUGAUGAUUCUAAAACACACUCCAUUAUGUAGUUGUCCACACUAGAAAUAAAAUAAAGCAGCCAAGCCCGUAA